AUAUGACAUUUUCUAUCUAUGUGUCUUGACCAAGUCACGUGCCAGCAGUCGCGGUAAUACGUGGAAGACUAGUGUUAUUCAUCUUUAAUGGGUUUAAAGGGUACCUAGACGGUCUAUUAAGCCUUAAAGGGUACUUACAGACUAGAGUUUGAUGAGAGGGGGGAAGUACGAGAGAGUGUAGAGAUGAAAUUCUGUCAUACCUUACUUGGAACAGGCAACGGCGAAAGCAACUCCUUAUGUAAAAACUGACGUUGAAGGACGAAGGCUUGGGACACCAACAGGAUUAGAUACCCCAGCAGUCCUUGCAGACAAUGAUGAAUGUCAUAGAUUGGAAUUAAAUAUCUUUUUUUUUUAAAUAUCUUUUUGUCUAUAAAUGAAAGUGUAAGCAUUCCACCUCAAGAGUAAUGUGGCAACGCAAAAACUGAAAUCAUUAAACCGUUUCUGAAACCAGUAGUGAAGUAUGUUGUUUAAUUUGGUGACCCGCAAAACACCUUACCACAAUUUGAAUAUUUUUAUAUUUAUAAAAAUACAAGCGUUGCACGGCUGUCUUCAGUUAAUGUCGUGAGAUUUUGGUUAGUUCCAUAAAAUUAACGUAAACCCUUACUUUAUUUUUACUAUAGAGUAGUUCACCGCUAUAUUGGAUACGAUAACAGGGAAUAAAACAAGUCAAUAUGGCCUUAAUAUUGUGGGCUAU
rnacentral:rRNA from 1 species